rnacentral:rRNA from 1 species
GCACCGGCUAACUCCGUGCCAGCAGCCGCGGUAAUACNGAGGGUGCAAGCGUUGUUCGGAUUUAUUGGGCGUAAAGCGCGUGUANGCGGUUUGUUAAGUCUGAUGUGAAAGCCCUGGGCUCAACCUGGGAAGUGCAUUGGAAACUGGCAGACUUGAAUACGGGAGAGGGUAGUGGAAUUCCUAGUGUAGGAGUGAAAUCCGUAGAUAUUAGGAGGAACACCGGUGGCGAAGGCGGCUACCUGGACCGAUAUUGACGCUGAGACGCGAAAGCGUGGGGAGCAAACAGGAUUAGAUACCCUGGUAGUCCACGCCGUAAACGAUGAGUACUAGGUGUUGCGGGUAUUGACCCCUGCAGUGCCGCAGCUAACGCAUUAAGUACUCCGCCUGGGAAGUACGGUCGCAAGACUAAAACUCAAAGGAAUUGACGGAAUCACUANUGAAUUCU